AUUGAACGCUGGCGGCAUGCUUUACACAUGCAAGUCGAACGGUAACAGGUUAAGCUGACGAGUGGCGAACGGGUGAGUAAUGCAUCGGAACGUGCCCAGUCGUGGGGGAUAACGCAGCGAAAGCUGUGCUAAUACCGCAUACGAUCUAUGGAUGAAAGCGGGGGACCGUAAGGCCUCGCGCGAUUGGAGCGGCCGAUGUCAGAUUAGCUAGUUGGUGGGGUAAAGGCCCACCAAGGCGACGAUCUGUAGCUGGUCUGAGAGGACGACCAGCCACACUGGAACUGAGACACGGUCCAGACUCCUACGGGAGGCAGCAGUGGGGAAUUUUGGACAAUGGGCGCAAGCCUGAUCCAGCAAUGCCGCGUGCAGGAAGAAGGCCUUCGGGUUGUAAAGCACUUUGGUCAGGAAAGAAAUACGCAUCAAUUAAUACUUGGUGUGGAUGACGGUACCUGCAGAAUAAGCACCGGCUAACUACGUGCCAG
rnacentral:rRNA from 1 species